CAGGGAUUGCCCUAGUAACGGCGAGCGAAGCGGCAACAGCUCAAAUUUGAAAUCUGGCUACUUUGUAGUCCGAGUUGUAAUUUGUAGAGGAUGCUUUUGGUGAGGUGCCUUCCGAGUUCCCUGGAACGGGACGCCAGAGAGGGUGAGAGCCCCGUACGGUUGGAUACCAAACCUUUGUAUAGCUCCUUCGACGAGUCGAGUAGUUUGGGAAUGCUGCUCUAAAUGGGAGGUAUAUCUCUUCUAAAGCUAAAUACCGGCUAGAGACCGAUAGCGCACAAGUAGAGUGAUCGAAAGAUGAAAAGCACUUUGAAAAGAGAGUUAAACAGCACGUGAAAUUGUUGAAAGGGAAGCGCCUAUGACCAGACUUGUUUCUUUCAGUUUUGUUAGUUUUCGGACUGGCUUACUCUGUUAGUACAGGCCAGCAUCAGUUUGUUGUCGGGGAGAAAGGCUUUGGGAAUGUGGCUCUUUCGGGAGUGUUAUAGCCCUUUGCAUAAUACCCUUCGGCAGACUGAGGACCGCGCUUCGGCAAGGAUGCUGGCGUAAUGGUCAUCAGCGACCCGUCUUGAAACACGGACCAAGGAGUCAACCUUAUGUGCGAGUGUUUGGGUGUAAAACCCCAGCGCGUAAUGAACGUGAACGUAGGUGAGAGCUUCGGCGCAUCAUCGACCGAUUCUGAUGUUCUCGGAUGGAUUUGAGUAAGAGCACACAGGGUUGGACCCGAAAGAAGGUGAACUAUGCUUGUAUAGGGUGAAGCCAGAGGAAACUCUGGUGGAGGCUCGCAGCGGUUCUGACGUGCAAAUCGAUCGUCAAAUAUGAGCAUGGGGGCGAAAGACUA
rnacentral:rRNA from 1 species